CCAGACUCCUACGGGAGGCAGCAGUGAGGAAUAUUGGUCAAUGGGCGGGAGCCUGAACCAGCCAAGUCGCGUGAGGGAAGACGGUCCUAUGGAUUGUAAACCUCUUUAGGCGGGGAGCAAUGCCGGGCACGCGUGCCCGGAGGGAGAGUACCCGCAGAAUAAGCAUCGGCUAACUACGUGCCAGCAGCCGCGGUAAUACGUAGGUGGCGAGCGUUAUCCGGAAUGAUUGGGCGUAAAGGGUGCGCAGGCGGUCCUGCAAGUCUGGAGUGAAACGCAGGAGCUCAACUCAUGCAUGGCUUUGGAAACUGGAGGACUGGAGGGCAGGAGAGGGCGGUGGAACUCCAUGUGUAGCGGUAAAAUGCGUAGAUAUAUGGAAGAACACCAGUGGCGAAGGCGGCCGCCUGGCCUGUUGCUGACGCUGAGGCACGAAAGCGUGGGGAGCAAAUAGGAUUAGAUACCCCUGUA
rnacentral:rRNA from 1 species